rnacentral:rRNA from 1 species
UGGGGAAUAUUGCACAAUGGGCGGAAGCCUGAUGCAGCGACGCCGCGUGAGGGAUGACGGCCUUCGGGUUGUAAACCUCUUUCAGCAGGGACGAAGCGUGAGUGACGGUACCUGCAGAAGAAGCGCCGGCCAACUACGUGCCAGCAGCCGCGGUAAGACGUAGGGCGCGAGCGUUGUCCGGAUUUAUUGGGCGUAAAGAGCUCGUAGGCGGCUUGUUGCGUCGGCUGUGAAAUCCCGUGGCUUAACUGCGGGCUUGCAGCUGAUACGGGCGGGCUAGAGUUCGGUAGGGGAGACUGGAAUUCCUGGUGUAGCGGUGAAAUGCGCAGAUAUCAGGAGGAACACCGGUGGCGAAGGCGGGUCUCUGGGCCGAUACUGACGCUGAGGAGCGAAAGCGUGGGGAGCGAACAGGAUUAGAUACCCCGGUAGUCC